CAGACCCUCCUACUUCCUGGACAGCAUCCAUGUUGAAAAAUAGUAUUUUUGCUUUUAUGGGAAACAUGGAUGCUGUCCAGGAAGUAGGAGGGUCU